rnacentral:lncRNA from 1 species
CAUUGAUUGACACAGAUGCAUAGUCUGUCAUGUAUUUACUACAUAGAAACUAUGUAGUUAAACACUUAAAUGAAGAUACAGUUGUAUUGCCGCAGUGGGAAAACGAAAAGAUGAAGUUUACAGAAGACUGGUCGAUGAAUAUGAAAAAAAUGAAAACAUCCCAUUUGAAAAUACAAAAUAUCAUAAGAGUUGCUAUAAAUAUUUCAAAAGUAAGCACAACCUAUCAUCUUCUGUUUUGUCUGUACAAAGACUUUGUACUACAUGUACCAAUUCUACCGACCAGUCUCUUCUCAUAUAUCAACGAGGG